UCCGGUAACUGGAAGUCAAAGCUACACAAAUUCUUUUAAAUAUGACACAAUUUCCUAGCAGUGAUGGAGGUUAAUUAUAGGAAUAGUUUACAGGAGAUGUUAAAGGUUUGCCAUUAUUUGGAGCUCCUAAGCUGAAACAAUAACAAUUUUGAAGAUAGGCUUAAACCUGGAACCUUGGGCAACUUGCUGGUGCAAGUUUGCCCUUGUGGUUUGGGGGAAAUCAGGGGGAUUAUCAGUGAGUCGCCUUCUGGGAUGCUGUACUGCUCAGUCUGCUUGGCUGCAGAAAUAGCAGGAGUUUUUAAACUUGCUUAAAGGGCUGUAGUUCUAAAUUAAGAUAGGUUUAAGUGAUCUUGUGCUUGUGGAUGAACAUCUGCUUCAAGGGAGAAUUCUGCUGUUCUGACAGGGGAAAGUUAGAUUAAAGUAGCGUGUUUCCUCCUCCACUGUUCUUUAAAUCGUCAGAGCUUGGCCACAGGGAGCAGACGCUGAGCUGUGCAAACAUGUGUCUCGUACCCAUUUGGACAAUCCCCUCCCUCAUUUACUGUGUCUUCCCAAGGUGUUUGCGGUGCAAUCCAGAUGUGAGGUCAGGAAGGGAUUUCCAGCAUCAUACCAGGUUUUCACCUUCAGCAAGAGCACAGUUCUCAUGCUGCGACUUUCUGCUGGCGGAGUUUUUAUCUCACCAUAAUCUUGUAAAGGGAUUUGGGGAUCUCUUUGUCUCAAUGUAUUGUUUCAGUAGGACAAGAGUGCUUUUUGGGUAGUAGGUUUUAUAAAAGGGUAUUGGAUGAUGGCGUCAACUAAAGGAUCUGUUGACUCACUCUAAAUUGUGACUUUUUAAUUAAAAUCAAUCAUUCAAUCUGUCUGUGCUUCUAUGAAUGGUGAAACUGCCUCUCGUGUAGCACUGUCCAUUUUGGUGUUCCAAAGGCUUCUGGUUCCCUAUGGAAACAGGCACCUGCCCGUGGCUGCGUCAGCUUUUUGGCACGAGUGUCCCUAACAGCCGUGACUUCUGGGUCUGUGCAUUUUCUCACUGUAUGCAACAGAACAACAGAGGAGGAAUAAUAGCCUUUUAGCAUGUGGAGUGGAACUAGCGAAGUGCAUAUUCUGGAAUGUAAAUGAUCCAUCAGAAAAAGUGCUGUUUGGUCUUUUAAGGCAAUAAUACUAUUGUUAGCAGAAAUCAUAACACCCAGCCGCACAAAGUUCUGUUGGUGCCUCCAGUUCAGCAGUUGUGGUGGGUGAACUUUUCUCAGCUCUCCUUGUUGGGACAGUUGAACACGGUUGGUAAAACAGCAAGAGGAAGAGGUCUAUGCACUUACACUCUUUGACAACAAAAGCAGUUGCUCAUGUGAGUAAAUAAUUCUACUCAAACUCACCUUAAAUCUCCUGCUGGUGUGUGAAGUGAUGGAGCCUGAGAGGAGAAAGGGAUGAGGGGCACAGGCCACUCUGAGCUCAGAAACAGUUUGGCAGAGGCGUUCUGUUGGAAUUAAGAAUGUUCUCCUGAACCAAGUUUUAAUAAUUUGAUUCAAAAAGCUAAUUACUAAGCUUGUGUAGUAUGCCGGUGCCUUUAAAAGAAAAGCUCUCUGAGGACGCUUGGUGCUAGGGCAGCCUCCUCAAGUAGCUCCCCUUUGUAAUGAGGUGCAAUGGAGGAAGGGGUGGCCGAACAGGAGCUGAGUGCUGCGCGAGAGGAACAGAACUACAGUAGCGGAAAUAGGAGAUACACUAAGUGCUGAACAUCUUGCUGAUUUACAUUUUGAUCUUUUAAUUGAAUUAUGUGUAAUAAACUAAUGCAGUCUAGGAAGACCUAUGGUAGAUGUCCAUGAGAAAAGUCUGGAAAGUUCUUGAGGGAAAAA